rnacentral:rRNA from 1 species
GAUGAACGCUGGCGGCGUGCCUAAUACAUGCAAGUCGAGCGAACAGAUGAGGAGCUUGCUCCUCUGACGUUAGCGGCGGGCGGGUGAGUAACACGUGGAUAACCUACCUAUAAGACUGGGAUAACUUCGGGAAACCGGAGCUAAUACCGGAUAAUAUAUUGAACCGCAUGGUUCAAUAGUGAAAGACGGUUUUGCUGUCACUUAUAGAUGGAUCCGCGCCGCAUUAGCUAGUUGGUAAGGUAACGGCUUACCAAGGCAACGAUGCGUAGCCGACCUGAGAGGGUGAUCGGCCACACUGGAACUGAGACACGGUCCAGACUCCUACGGGAGGCAGCAGUAGGGAAUAUUCCGCAAUGGGCGAAAGCCUGACGGAGCAACGCCGCGUGAGUGAUGAAGGUCUUCGGAUCGUAAAACUCUGUUAUUAGGGAAGAACAAAUGUGUAAGUAACUAUGCACGUCUUGACGGUACCUAAUCAGAAAGCCACGGCUAACUACGUG